UGUCUUAUCUUGCGGACGGGUGAGUAACGCGUGAGAAACCUGCCUUUCACAAAGGGAUAGCCUCGGGAAACUGGGAUUAAUACCUUAUGAUACUUCUUUACCGCAUGGUAGAGAAGUCAAAGCGUAAAGCGGUGAAAGAUGGUCUCGCGUCCCAUUAGUUAGUUGGUGAGGUAACGGCUCACCAAGACUGCGAUGGGUAGCCGGCCUGAGAGGGUGAACGGCCACACUGGAACUGAGACACGGUCCAGACUCCUACGGGAGGCAGCAGUGGGGAAUAUUGCACAAUGGAGGAAACUCUGAUGCAGCGACGCCGCGUGAACGAUGAAGGCCUUCGGGUCGUAAAGUUCUGUCCUAGGGGACGAUAAUGACGGUACCCUAGGAGGAAGCCCCGGCUAACUACGUGCCAGCAGCCGCGGUAAUACGUAGGGGGCGAGCGUUGUCCGGAAUUAUUGGGCGUAAAGGGUUCGCAGGCGGUCUUUUAAGUCAGAUGUGAAAGGCUACGGCUCAACCGUGGUAAGCAUUUGAAACUGAAAGACUUGAGUUAAGGAGAGGAAAGUGGAAUUCCUAGUGUAGCGGUGAAAUGCGUAGAUAUUAGGAGGAAUACCAGUGGCGAAGGCGACUUUCUGGACUUAUACUGACGCUGA
rnacentral:rRNA from 1 species